UAGAAUCACAGACACUACGGUUCGGGCAGGACUGAAUCCAUACUUUCACAAACUGUCAUCUCGUGUAAGAAUAUUUUGUUACAUGCCUACCAGAUUUAACGACUGAGUCCAACAGAGCUCAGGUGUCGUUCCCAAGGAUGCACAGAUGGAGGUCACGCAUUUAAUACAGUAUCAGCCUCGUUGUGUCACUGAAAAGGGUGGCGCUGAGAGAAGCGCCUUGUCCUGAAUGUCACUCAGUGCCGGUGAAUGCGCCAGGGGGAAUGCAAACCCACGUCUUUACACCUGCAUUUCCCUCACAGUGUGAGAAACACAGACACGGAAACAUAGGGCAAGGAUGAAUGUUUAUGAAUCUUGUAUCAGGAAGGAAGCAUAAUGAUUUCCAUUUCAGGCUUAUUUGCUAAUUCUCUUCUGAUACGAAGUUUAUCAAACGAUGCAACUGAAGAGGAGGUGUAAAGAGCAGGAAAAAGAAUUCUGUGCGGCCUGAACUGCGUUGUGGAGUGCAUGAAGUCAUAGUCUUUUAAAGGUCUUGAGUUUGGACACAGUUUCUCUCUUCUCAUCACACGCUCAAGUGUCAGGGCCCCCAGUAGCAAGUAAGCUCCAAGUGCCCUCAGUCCACUCUGGAAAACAGAGCAUCUGAAUACAGCAUGCCGAGGGGACCUUCCUUUGAUAAACAUUGAGACAGAUACUGUUUCUGUGUUGGAAUAGAGAAAAUGCCUUUCCUUCAGAUUCCGUCAUUUCCUGACUACAUGAGAUCAUGGAGAUUAUUUCCAGCGAAGCACGAUGCCUUCAGUUUCAAAUGCAGCAGCC